rnacentral:rRNA from 1 species
GGGCCUUGCGGCGUCUACCAUGCAGUCGACGGUGAAGCCAAGCUUGCUUGGUGGAUCAGUGGCGAACGGGUGAGUAACACGUGAGCAACCUGCCCUGAACUCUGGGAUAAGCGCUGGAAACGGCGUCUAAUACUGGAUAUGAGCUGCGGAGGCAUCUUCGUGGUUGGAAAGAUUUUUCGGUUUGGGAUGGGCUCGCGGCCUAUCAGCUUGUUGGUGAGGUAAUGGCUCACCAAGGCGUCGACGGGUAGCCGGCCUGAGAGGGUGACCGGCCACACUGGGACUGAGACACGGCCCAGACUCCUACGGGAGGCAGCAGUGGGGAAUAUUGCACAAUGGGCGGAAGCCUGAUGCAGCAACGCCGCGUGAGGGAUGACGGCCUUCGGGUUGUAAACCUCUUUUAGCAGGGAAGAAGCGAAAGUGACGGUACCUGCAGAAAAAGCGCCGGCUAACUACGUGCCAGCAGCCGCGGUAAUACGUAGGGCGCAAGCGUUAUCCGGAAUUAUUGGGCGUAAAGAGCUCGUAGGCGGUUUGUCGCGUCUGCUGUGAAAACCCGAGGCUCAACCUCGGGCCUGCAGUGGGUACGGGCAGACUAGAGUGCGGUAGGGGAGAUUGGAAUUCCUGGUGUAGCGGUGGAAUGCGCAGAUAUCAGGAGGAACACCGAUGGCGAAGGCAGAUCUCUGGGCCGUAACUGACGCUGAGGAGCGAAAGGGUGGGGAGCAAACAGGCUUAGAUACCCUGGUAGUCCACCCCGUAAACGUUGGGAACUAGUUGUGGGGUCCAUUCCACGGAUUCCGUGACGCAGCUAACGCAUUAAGUUCCCCGCCUGGGGAGUACGGCCGCAAGGCUAAAACUCAAAGGAAUUGACGGGGACCCGCACAAGCGGCGGAGCAUGCGGAUUAAUUCGAUGCAACGCGAAGAACCUUACCAAGGCUUGACAUACACGAGAACGCUGCAGAAAUGUAGAACUCUUUGGACACUCGUGAACAGGUGGUGCAUGGUUGUCGUCAGCUCGUGUCGUGAGAUGUUGGGUUAAGUCCCGCAACGAGCGCAACCCUCGUUCUAUGUUGCCAGCACGUAAUGGUGGGAACUCAUGGGAUACUGCCGGGGUCAACUCGGAGGAAGGUGGGGAUGACGUCAAAUCAUCAUGCCCCUUAUGUCUUGGGCUUCACGCAUGCUACAAUGGCCGGUACAAAGGGCUGCAAUACCGCGAGGUGGAGCGAAUCCCAAAAAGCCGGUCCCAGUUCGGAUUGAGGUCUGCAACUCGACCUCAUGAAGUCGGAGUCGCUAGUAAUCGCAGAUCAGCAACGCUGCGGUGAAUACGUUCCCGGGUCUUGUACACACCGCCCGUCAAGUCAUGAAAGUCGGUAACACCUGAAGCCGGUUGCCCAACCCUUGUGGAGGAGCCGUCGAAUGUGAAUCAUCU